rnacentral:rRNA from 1 species
AGAGCGAACGCUGGCGGCAGGCCUAACACAUGCAAGUUGAGCGCCCGUAGCAAUACGGGAGCGGCAGACGGGAUAGUAACACGUGGGAACGCGCCCUUCGGUUCGGAAUAACUCAGGGAAACUUGAGCUAAUACCGAAUACGCCCUUACGGGGAAAGAUUUAUUGCCGAAGGAACGGCCCGCGUCCGAUUAGCUAGUUGGUGAGGUAAUGGCUCACCAAGGCUACGAUCGGUAGCUGGUCUGAGAGGAUGACCAGCAUCACUGGGACUGAGACACGGCCCAGACUCCUACGGGAGGCAGCAGUGGGGAAUAUUGGACAAUGGGCGCAAGCCUGAUCCAGCCAUGCCGCGUGGAUGAUGAAGGCCUUAGGGUUGUAAAGUCCUUUUAACGGGGAAGAUAAUGACGGUACCCGUAGAAUAAGCCCCGGCUAACUUCGUGCCAGCAGCCGC